rnacentral:rRNA from 1 species
ACCGGGCCCACGGGUGAGUAACGCGUAUGCACCCCUGCCUCCAACAGGGGAAUAACCCGUUGAAAGACGGACUAAUACCCCAUAACACAGGGAUCCCGCAUGGGAAUAUUUGUUAAAGAUUUAUCGGUUGUAGAUGGGCAUGCGUUCCAUUAGCUGGUUGGUGAGGUAACGGCUCACCAAGGCAACGAUGGAUAGGGGAACUGAGAGGUUUAUCCCCCACACUGGUACUGAGACACGGACCAGACUCCUACGGGAGGCAGCAGUGAGGAAUAUUGGUCAAUGGACGCAAGUCUGAACCAGCCACGUCGCGUGAAGGAAGACGGCCCUACGGGUUGUAAACUUCUUUUGUAAGGGAAUAAAGUGCAGUACGUGUACUGUUUUGCAUGUACCUUACGAAUAAGGAUCGGCUAACUCCGUGCCAGCAGCCGCGGUAAUACGGAGGAUCCGAGCGUUAUCCGGAUUUAUUGGGUUUAAAGGGUGCGCAGGCGGGAGAUUAAGUCGGCGGUGAAAUUUUGCAGCUCAACUGUAAAAGUGCCUUCGAAACUGGUUUUCUUGAGUGUGGAUGAAGUAGGCGGAAUUUGUGGUGUAGCGGUGAAAUGCAUAGAUAUCACGAGGAACUCCGAUUGCGCAGGCAGCUUACUAAACCAUAACUGACGCUCAGGCACGAAGGCGUGGGGAUCAAACA